AAAUUGAAGAGUUUGAUCAUGGCUCAGAUUGAACGCUGGCGGCAGGCCUAACACAUGCAAGUCGAACGGUAACAGGAAGCAGCUUGCUGCUUCGCUGACGAGUGGCGGACGGGUGAGUAAUGUCUGGGAAACUGCCUGAUGGAGGGGGAUAACUACUGGAAACGGUAGCUAAUACCGCAUAAUGUCGCAAGACCAAAGAGGGGGACCUUCGGGCCUCUUGCCAUCGGAUGUGCCCAGAUGGGAUUAGCUUGUUGGUGGGGUAACGGCUCACCAAGGCGACGAUCCCUAGCUGGUCUGAGAGGAUGACCAGCCACACUGGAACUGAGACACGGUCCAGACUCCUACGGGAGGCAGCAGUGGGGAAUAUUGCACAAUGGGCGCAAGCCUGAUGCAGCCAUGCCGCGUGUAUGAAGAAGGCCUUCGGGUUGUAAAGUACUUUCAGCGGGGAGGAAGGGAGUAAAGUUAAUACCUUUGCUCAUUGACGUUACCCGCAGAAGAAGCACCGGCUAACUCCGUGCCAGCAGCCGCGGUAAUACGGAGGGUGCAAGCGUUAAUCGGAAUUACUGGGCGUAAAGCGCACGCAGGCGGUUUGUUAAGUCAGAUGUGAAAUCCCCGGGCUCAACCUGGGAACUGCAUCUGAUACUGGCAAGCUUGAGUCUCGUAGAGGGGGGUAGAAUUCCAGGUGUAGCGGUGAAAUGCGUAGAGAUCUGGAGGAAUA
rnacentral:rRNA from 1 species